rnacentral:rRNA from 1 species
UACGUAGGUGGCAAGCGUUGUCCGGAUUUAUUGGGUUUAAAGGGUGCGUAGGCGGCCCUGUAAGUCAGUGCUGAAAUAUCCCCGGCUUAACCGGGAGGGUGGCAUUGAUACUGCGGGGCUAGAGUACAGAUGAGGUAGGCGGAAUUGACGGUGUAGCGGUGAAAUGCUUAGAUAUCGUCAAGAACACCUAUAGCGAAGGCAGCUUACUAGGCUGUAACUGACGCUGAGGCACGAAAGUGUGGGGAUCAAACAGG